rnacentral:rRNA from 1 species
AUGUUGUUCAUUGACCUUGAGAAGGCCUAUGAUAAGAUACCGCGAAAUGUCAUAUGGUGGGCCUUGGAGAAACACAAAGUCCCAGCGAAGUACAUUACCCUCAUCAAGGACAUGUACGAUAAUGUUGUGACAAGUGUUCGAACAAGUGAUGUCGACACUGAUGACUUACCGAUUAAGAUAGGACUACACCAGGGGUCAGCAUUGAGCCCUUAUCUUUUUGCCUUGGUGAUGGAUGAGGUCACAAGGGAUAUACAAGGAGAUAUCCCAUGGUGUAUGCUCUUUGCGGAUGAUGUGGUGCUAGUUGACGAUAGUCGGACGGGGUAA